UACGGAGGGGGCUAGCGUUGUUCGGAAUUACUGGGCGUAAAGCGCGCGUAGGCGGGCUGUUAAGACGGGGGUGAAAUCCCGGGGCUCAACCCCGGAACUGCCUUCGAUACUGGCAGGCUAGAGGAAGGCAGAGGCUAGUGGAAUGGCGAGUGUAGAGGUGAAAUUCGUAGAUAUUCGCCGGAACACCAGUGGCGAAGGCGACUGGCUGGGCCUUUUCUGACGCUGAGGUGCGAAAGCGUGGGGAGAAAACAGG
rnacentral:rRNA from 1 species